rnacentral:rRNA from 1 species
UACGGAGGGUGCAAGCGUUAUCCGGAUUCACUGGGUUUAAAGGGUGCGUAGGCGGGUAGGUAAGUCAGUGGUGAAAUCUUCGAGCUUAACUCGGAAACUGCCUUUGAUACUAUCUAUCUUGAAUAUUGUGGAGGUAAGCGGAAUAUGUCAUGUAGCGGUGAAAUGCUUAGAUAUGACAUAGAACACCUAUUGCGAAGGCAGCUUACUACGCAUAUAUUGACGCUGAGGCACGAAAGCGUGGGGAGCGAACGGG